rnacentral:rRNA from 1 species
AAUAGAUACCCGGGUAGUCCACGCCGUAAACGAUGAGUGCUAAGUGUUGGGGGGGUUUCCGCUCCUCAGUGCUGCAGCUAACGCAUUAAGCACUCCGCCUGGGGGAGUACGGUCGCAAGACUGAAACUCAAAGGAAUUGACGGGGGCCCGCACAAGCGGUGGAGCAUGUGGUUUAAUUCGAAGCAACGCGAAGAACCUUACCAGGUCUUGACAUCCCGGUGACCACUAUGGAGACAUAGUUUCCCCUUCGGGGGGCAACGGUGACAGGUGGUGCAUGGUUGUCGUCAGCUCGUGUCGUGAGAUGUUGGGUUAAGUCCCGCAACGAGCGCAACCCUUAUUCUUAGUUGCCAUCAUUCAGUUGGGCACUCUAAGGAGACUGCCGGUGAUAAACCGGAGGAAGGUGGGGAUGACGUCAAAUCAUCAUGCCCCUUAUGACCUGGGCUACACACGUGCUACAAUGGACGGUACAACGGUUGCCAACCCGCGAGGGGAGCUAAUCCGAUAAACCGUUCUCAGUUCGGAUUGUAGGCUGCAACUCGCCUAC